UACAAUUAUUAUACCUUUAUAAUUUCUAUAUAUAUUACUUGAAUCAUAUAUAUAUUUUUGUGUGUGUGUGUAUGUCUGAGUUUGUGUGAACACUUGCGUAACAUAUAAGAGACGAAAAGUUGUCCUUCAAAACAAAAAUGGCCGUUUCAAAACAUUUUCUUGUUCUCGUAUUGCUCUUCUUCCUAUUCUCAUGUGCUAUAUUUUUCGUGGAGGCGCAAAAUUGUCAAAUCACUAUUCCUGUCAUCGGAGAUUGCUUGGCUGAUCAUUGCACCCAAAUGUGUAUUGAGAGGCUUCAUAAAAGAGUUUUUGGUAGGUGCCUCAUUGACAAACAUGAGCGUCAACAAAAUGUAGCUAUUUACCUCUGUUGUUGUAUGUCUUAAACUUUUUUAGUCAAUCACUUUAUGUGAUUCCUGUUAAUGAAUAAUAUUUUCGAAUGAUAAUAUUUUUCUAAUUAAUUAAUUAAAUAAAGCUGUCUUAGUAACUAUUUAUAUGUA